CCAGCCUAGGUGACAGAACGAGACCUUGCCUCAGAAAAAAAAAAAAAAAAAGGGUGGGGGGAGGUAAAUUUAAUUGUAAGUUAUUUCACUAUAAAGCUGUUAAAAAAUAACUAUUAAGUCUAAACAGUAAUCCUGGGAAUGUAUAUUGGGAAACUAUAUUGUACCUCUGCAGAACUGAAAAACAUACAGAGACAGGCAUGCAGCCGGUGUUCAAUAAAUGCUUUCAGAAUGUAGUGGAAACAUUAUGCACCAGUGUUUAUUGAAAGGAAAGUCUCCCUGCUCUCUCAAGUUCAAGUCAGCCCAGGUUUAACAUUAUCCUUGUCUGCCACCUGGUGGCCCAAAUGGGCAAAGUGGGUGUCCUGGUCUUUCGCUCCAAACUUCAAAAAGCUGUAGUUGGGCUUAAAGGCCGUGGAUGGAAAGAAGGGAGACUUUCGCCCUGGAAAUCCGGUGCCCCGAGAGGCAAGUUGGUCAGAGGUAGGGGUAUAAGGGGAUUAUUAGGGUCUAUGGGACUAGAAUACAGCCUCUUAAUGACAGAGGGAAUAUACUUUGGUGAAACCAAGAGGCCGAUUGAACACAAUUGGCCACCUUUGCACACUGAGAUAAAAUAUGAGGAGGAUUUUUGCGAAGCCAGGAAGGAGAAAAGUUUAGGGACAACAAUGAGGUAAGUAGGAAAAUAAUCAUAUGGACACACAUGGUGAGUUCGGGGAUGCUCAGGGGGCUGAAAGGUUGGCAAGGGAAUUCUGAAAGGCCAGAGAACAUCUCCCUGGGUGGAGAGGCUCCUGGGAGCCAGGGAACAGGAAUCUCUUUUCUUAGAUAUGCCUGGACCUUUGGACCCUCAAUCCCACUUCCGGGGCACACCCCACAGGUAAACAUCUUCGCGAGUGUGCUACGAUCCUGUGAGUAGGGGCCUUACAGUGUCUGUAGAACCACUGAGAAGAAGAGCAACCUUCAGGAGACGGCCACUGAGGAAUCGGCUUGGCUUUCCUGGCAACUGUACAGGAGGCCCAGGCUCAGGGGCCUGUGGACAAGCCCAGUCUUGCUUCUUACAAAAAUGGGUUGAGUCACCUCUGCAGGACACAGAUAGGCGAGGAGGUGGCUUGUUUUUGUUUGUUUGUUUUUGUUUUUGUUUUUAGAUUGAGUCUUGCUCUGUCACCCAGGCUGGAGUAUAGUGGCACAAUCUCAGCUUACUAUGAUCUCCGCCUCCAGGGUUCAAGCAAUUCUCCUGGCUCAGCCUCCCAAGUAGCUGGGAUUACAGGGAUGUGCCACCACGCUUGGCUAAUUUUUGUGUUUAGUAAAGACAGGGUUUCACCUUGUUGGCCAGGCUGGUCUCGAAAUCCUGACCUCAGGUGAUCCACCUGGCUUGGCCUCCCAAAGUGCUAGGAUUACAGGCAUGAACCACCGCACCUGGCCUGUAAAGGUGGCUUGUUUUAAAUGUCAAUGAUAGACGACAUUUAGUGGGACAAAAGGGGAGUAUAGGAACUUUUACAUUUUCAGUAGUUGGUGACCUUGGUGGCUGAAAUCUGGGAGCUCUAAGUGCUAUGGUUUAAAUGUUUGUAUUGCCUCAAAAAUUUGUAUGGUGAAACCUAAUCCCCAAUGUGAUGGUGUCAAGAGGUGGGGACUUCAGGAGGUGAAGGGGAUUAGUGUCCUUACAAAAGAGGCCAGAUGGAGCUUGUUUUCCCUUUCCUCCAGGGGAGCACACAAUGAGAGGCUGCCAUCUAUUAACCAGAGAACAAGUCCUUGCCAGACAGCAAAUCUGCUGACACCUUGAUCCUGGACUUCUAAGCCUCUAUAACUGACAUGAUGAAAACUUUACAGAUGAUAUGAUGUCUGGGAUUUGUUUCAAAUAAUGAUGCAAGAGAGAGGUGGCCAUCCGGAAAACACCAGGUUAUAUUCAACCUGAGAAAGCUGAUUUAAAACAGAAACAAAAACAAGAUCUUUGUUAUUGCUGAAGACGGACAAUGGGUAUGUUGGAUUUCUUAUACUACUGUUUCUACCUCAGACUUGGCUCAUCCUUUGGUGCUGUGCAGCCCUUGAGCAGGCUUGACCCUCUCUGUGCCUCAGGGAGGUUCACCUGCUGUUCUUAUUCCCACCAGCUCCCACCUGCCUGGCACUUUCCCUUUUGGAACCUCAGGUUCUGCUUCUGUAGGAUUUGGGAAAUCUGAGCCCAGUUUCAUAAUAAAAAGUCAGAAAACAGGUCAGUCGCAGUGGGUGACUUUGGUAAUCCUAGCACUUUGGGAGGCCGAGGUGGGUGGAUCACUUGAGGUUAGGAGUUCGAGACCAGCCUAGCCAACAUGGUGAAAGCCUGUCUCUACCAAAAUAUAUAAUAUAUUUGUCAGACACACAUAUGUUUAUAAUAUAAUAUAAUAUACAUCUAAAUAUUGGACUCCGUCUGUUGCCCAGGCUGGAGUGCAGUGGUGUGAUUGCAGCUCACUGCAGCCCCCACCUCCUGGGCUUGAGAUCCCCCCAUCUCAACUUCCCAAGUACUUGGGAACACAGUUGUGUGCCACCAUGCCUGAGAGUCCUUUUUUUUUUUUUUUUUUUUUUUUUGGUAGAGACAAGUCUUGUUGCCCAAGCUGGUCUCUAACUCCUAGCCUCAUGUGAUCCUCCCAUCUCUGCCUCACACAGUGCUGGGAUAACAGGUGUGAGCCACUGUGUCUGGCCCAAAAUAUUUCAAAAGGUAGCCAUCUGUGAGGCCAGGCAGAUCUUCCUGCUGGGCUCCUGGUGAAUUCUAGAAUGUGAUCAAGGGCAGGCAUGGGAGGAAGCCCUGCAGGAGUGCACCAUGGGGCGAAUAUGGACUCCACCUGGGCAGAUUAAAUUGGGAAAGGGUCGGGAGAGGCAGUCAGAUCAUACACUUAGGAGAGUUUCAGGUGAGAGGACCAAAGGCCAAAACACUCCCGGAGCUUCGAAAAGGGCCUGGAGAAGCCUGGCAGGCACACAGAGCCUUCACCUUUGCCCUGGAAGCCAAGUUGUGCCCUUGCCCAGGAUGAGGUAAAUGGCGUGAGGGACACCACGAGCUCUUUGGCUCUUGUUUCUGGAGACAGAUUUUUGUUUUUUCACCCAGGCUGGAGUGCAAUAGUGUGAUGAAGGCUCACUGCAGCCUCAACCUCCCCUACUAAAGUGAUCUCCCACCUCAGCCUCCCAAGAAGCUGGGACUAGAGGUCACAGGCCACCACAGCCCAUUAAUUUCUUUUAAUUAUUUUGUACACUCUGAGUCUAUGUUGCCCAGGCUGGCCUCCAACUCCUGGGAUCAAGCGAUUCUCCCCCUUGGCCUUCCAAAAUGCUGGGAUUAAAGGAGUGAGCCAAUCGCACCCAGCCACUGCGGCCUCUUAGAUCUGCUUUAGGAUUUGGAGCCUGGGGGCUUCUGUUCCCCAAGGACCACUAACCUUGUCUGAGGCCCCUUUGGAGGGCUCAGCGCGCCCCCUUGGCCAAGGACGCCACACAUUGAGAGCCAGCUGCUGCCAGAAGCUAUUACUGUUAUUACCGGCCGGCAGCACAGGCUACAGCCACAAUCGUAAGAGGGAAAUGGACUGAAUCCCCACACCCCAAUCCCUCACUCACUCCGACCCGAGGCUGUCUACCCGGCCUGGCAUGUCCCGGCGCUCCUGGGGCCCCUGUACUCCGCUGGUUCCUCGCUGUGGUGUCCCGCAGCCCGACCAUUUCUGUGCUUC
rnacentral:lncRNA from 1 species